UAAAUAUUUAAGUGGAGCCUGCGACU
ensembl:ncRNA